UUUAAACGUGAAAUUUAGAAAAUCACAAGUGAGUGUUAAUAUAAUGAUUCUUCGGAAAUGAAUGCAUUCACCAAAAAUCGUUCGUCAAAUUUCAAUGCGUCCUACGAUAAUCUUUGAUAAAAAUGCAUACUACAUAGUGUAUAUAUGUAUAUUUGAUCAUCUGUUAUAUAAAAAGUUAAGCAGCAUACAAAAAAAUACUAUUUAUUAAAUACUAUGUAUUUAACAUAUCUAGUGUUUAAAUCUUUCACUUUAGUCGGUUUGUGCAAUUCCUGAAUUUCAUUAGAUACUAAAUUAAUUAAGAUUAAGAUAGUAGGUAUUGUAAUUUUUAACAAUACAAUUUUUAGUGAUAUAAAGUUUUUAGCAAUAAAUUUCAAAUACUGCUCUCAGACUUUCUUGAUGAAUUUGACGACUCUGGUUACAAGUUUCAUCUUCUUGCAACAAAAUUUUGAAAAUCGAGAGAUACUAACAUUAUGCGUUUCCAGUCUGUGCACGACUGAUUUCUUCUUCAUGUUAUCUUUGAGUUCUUUGGAACGAUAAGAACGACAAGGACAAUUUCGAUAAACGUUGUUUACUCGUACGCGUUAGCAUAAAUUAGAUCAAAACAAGUGGUAACUCUGUGCAGCAACUUGCAAAAAAGCUAAUAAAGCUAAUCCAGUAUUAUCAUCUAUUAGGAAGUUGUUUCGAAUGGUAUUUGAAAUGCAAGGUAGAUUCAAGGAAUCACUAUCCCAAUCCAUUAAAUGGCAUCCAUUAAAUAGCCUUACGUAACAGAAAAUACGUUUCUUAAUGCAGUUUAUGAAAUACAAAAAAAAAAAAUGGAUUAUCAUAACAUCAUUAGACAAGAAAAUUACCACGACGUAUAUAUAUAUGUAUUCAUUAAUGAAUAAAUAUGUCGGAGCCAAUUUUUCAAAAAACUUAUCAAAUGAUUGACUGCUAUUCAAAAGCUAGAAAGUCGAAGAGUCUGAUUGCACGUGGAAUUUAGAGAACAAUAAAUGACAACAAUCAUCGAUAGAA